GACGAACGCUGGCGGCGUGCUUAACACAUGCAAGUCGAGCGGUAAGGCCCUUUCGGGGGUACACGAGCGGCGAACGGGUGAGUAACACGUGGGUGACCUGCCCUCAGCUCUGGGAUAAGCCUGGGAAACCGGGUCUAAUACUGGAUAUGACUCCAUGACGCAUGUUGUGGGGUGGAAAGCCUUGUGCGGCUGAGGAUGGGCCCGCGGCCUAUCAGCUUGUUGGUGGGGUGANGGCCUACCAAGGCGACGACGGGUAGCCGGCCUGAGAGGGCGACCGGCCACACUGGGACUGAGACACGGCCCAGACUCCUACGGGAGGCAGCAGUGGGGAACCUUGCGCAAUGGGCGAAAGCCUGACGCAGCGACGCCGCGUGAGGGAUGACGGCCUGG
rnacentral:rRNA from 1 species